ACUGCGGAAGGAUCAUUAUUGAAAUUACCGGUGAGGGUUGUAGCUGGCCUCUCGGGGCAUGUGCACGCCUGAGCCUUUCAAUCCACACACACCUGUGAACCUAAUGUGAGGGCCCGUAAAAAAGGUCCUUAUGUCUUAUCACCAACCCGAGUCCGAUAGAAUGUAACACAUGUCUUCGCCUUAAAAAGCGUUGAUAAAACCUAUACAACUUUCAACAACGGAUCUCUUGGCUCUCGCAUCGAUGAAGAACGCAGCGAAAUGCGAUAAGUAAUGUGAAUUGCAGAUUUUCAGUGAAUCAUCGAAUCUUUGAACGCACCUUGCGCUCCUUGGUAUUCCGAGGAGCAUGCCUGUUUGAGUGUCAUUAAAUCUUCAACUCCCAAUCUAUUUGUUUUGGGGGCUUGGACUUGGGGCGUGCCGGCGAAGGUCGGCUCCUCUAAAAUGCAUCAGCGGAAUUCAACCUUUGGCUUCUGGAAGUCAGUGUGAUAACAACGUUGCGCUGUCCUCCGAGGCUUCAGAGUCCGCUUACAAUGGUCUUCGGACAACCUUCAUCGAAUUUGACCUCAAAUCAGGUAGGACUACCCGCUGAACUUAAGCAUAUCAAUAAGCGGAGGAAA
rnacentral:sRNA from 1 species